rnacentral:RNase_P_RNA from 1 species
AAAGUAAACUAGGCAAUCGCCGGUGGUGUACCGCAAGGUCCCACGGGAGGAAAGUCCGAGCUCCACAGGGCAGGGUGCCGGCUAACGGCCGGUGGAGGCAACUCUAAGGAAAGUGCCACAGAAAUGCAGACCGCCGAUGGGAACGUGACCGUUCCACAGGCAAGGGUGCAACGGUGCGGUAAGAGCGCACCAGCAGCAUGGAGACAUGCUGGCUAGGUAAACCCCACCCGGAGCAAGACCAUAAAGGGAUCGGCGCCUUGACGGGCGCAGCUGUGGCCCGCAGUGAUCCCGGGUUGGUCGCUUGAGCGGUGCAGCAAUGCAUCGCCUAGACAGAUGAUUGCCACUCCAAUCGGUGGGAGGCGUUCCGACAACGCCGCGUAACCACUUGGAGGACAGAACUCGGCUUAUGGUUUGCUUUCCCA